UGAGUUUGAUUAUGGCUCAGAUUGAACGCUGGCGGCAGGCCUAACACAUGCAAGUCGAGCGGUAACAGGACUAGCUUGCUAGUUGCUGACGAGCGGCGGACGGGUGCGUAACACGUAGGAAUCUGCCCGGUAGUGGGGGAUAGCCCGGAGAAAUCCGGAUUAAUACCGCAUACGCCUUACGAGGGAAAGGAGGGGCCUCUUCGGAGCCUUUCGCUAUCGGAUGAGCCUGCGUCGGAUUAGCUAGUUGGUGGGGUAAAGGCCUACCAAGGCGACGAUCCGUAGCUGGUCUGAGAGGAUGAUCAGCCACACUGGGACUGAGACACGGCCCAGACUCCUACGGGAGGCAGCAGUGGGGAAUAUUGCACAAUGGGGGAAACCCUGAUGCAGCCAUGCCGCGUGUGUGAAGAAGGCCCUAGGGUUGUAAAGCACUUUCAGCGAGGAGGAAAGGUUGCUGGUUAAUACCCAGCGGCUGUGACGUUACUCGCAGAAGAAGCACCGGCUAACUCCGUGCCAGCAGCCGCGGUAAUACGGAGGGUGCGAGCGUUAAUCGGAAUUACUGGGCGUAAAGCGUGCGUAGG
rnacentral:rRNA from 1 species